UAUACAAAUCAGCGACCAAAUAUCGUCCAUCAGUUGAGGUUAGAUUUAGUUGGAGUGGGUGACUUACAUACCAAAAUCCACUUAAUCACAAAUUAUGGACCGUUGUGUUACCACGGAUCUGCAAAUUCGGGACACUAUUGCUCAAAAUGUUUAAAUAUAAGAUAUGAAUUACUCUUAGCAAUGCGCCGGUUGAUUCUAAUAUACAUAACCCUCUACCCAAAAAUUACGGGGAAUGGCGAAUGAAAACUCCGUUAUCUAAUAAGGACGUUUAUUUAUCUACCAACUUGCGUAGUGCUUGAAACAUACUGUUUAAGGACGCGCUUAACGAAGCAACAAGCUGCCAUAUAGAGGCGUUAAAGGAAUUGUGGAAAAAUUUAGUUUAUAACACUACGAAACUUUUAACUAAGAUUAUAACAUUGACGGUCGACUGUUUAAGAUAAAAACUGAUCGCUGUUUUCAAAGUUAUAUUCGCCACCAAUCACCUAAUCAUGUAAGCAGCAGCCGAAGUACACACUUGCUUAUAUCGUUUGCAGCACUCAAUGAUAUCGAUAGGGUCAGCAAAUCGACUAAAAUAUUAAUAAUCUAAAAAUAAUAAAAUGACAAAUAACAUCUGCACUACACAUAAUGGUUCCAAGAACGGUCAGGUCUUCGUCCCGGAGUCACUCGUCGCCAGCGACGACCAAAUGCCCUCAACACCUCCCAAAGGAACUUCACUAGCAGGUUUCAGCGGAUUACAAGAACAAAACAUAAUGACUUGAAUAUCGAAAACAAACAAAUCAAAGAACACAAAAAGCAGGUGACAUUACGAUGAUUAGUAACGACGAAAUUAAACAGAUCACAAACUAAAUGAGUGUUUGUCUUAAAAGCAUCUUUAUGUAACGAGCUAUUCUGUUUACCUGCUGUUAUUGUUGUUGUAACUCGCUAGGUCCUGAAAGCAGAUACCAUAAAAGAUUUACAAGACGAUCAACCCGGGUCCCGACGGAUAAAUCUGGCCAUUUCAAUGCGUUGCGUCCAAAGGUCAAGUAGACGGAGGUUUGUGUGUGCAGUAAGACAAGAUAACAAAUGCUCGACGUUAUGACGGUAGAACUGCAGUUUGGGCACAAUUUAGGAAUAGACGUGGUUAUGUUCACCUGCGUAGAUCUUUGGUUUACACAAUAAUUAUUGGAGCAGUAAAGUUCUAAAUUGAUAAAAAUGGGCAGAACUUUAUUUCAAAUUCCCUAUUUUUAAUUAUGAAGCGAAAUAUUAUAAAACGAUCUAUAAGGCAUUAGAUAGCUGAUGCUUUAGAUUGAAACCGAUUAUUGAUUAUGGAUGUAUCAAUUUUCUUAUUAAAAGAAAACAUAAUUUUUGGUUUAAUAAGUACGAGUCUAUCAGACCAAAUCAAACCAGCUGUUUUAUUUAAACGAAAUAUUUUGUUGUUGAGGUUGUUAAUAUAAUUUAAGCUGGCGAUAUUUCACGGGAGUCUACCAUAAUACACAGUUGUUAGUAAAAAUACAUAUAUUUCCUGAAAUAUAUCUUUUUUACAUUGGCGUGUAAGAAACAAAAUCUUGAAUAGUGUUUCUACACGUUGGAUCAUAAUCAAUUUCACUGUUCAUGCGACUUUUUGUACGUUAAUAUAUAACCGAUUUUUGGGCUUAAUACAACGAUCAUUUACAUUACACUAAGAGUGUCAACUAGCGACUAUACAAUUAAUUUGUCAACAACAAUAUUAAUAAGCAUAUCAUCUAUAUAAUCAGCAUUACACAAAACAUAAUCUACAUAAUGUGAAAUAUCUUCUACUAUGUAAUAGCUUAUAAGCAGUAUGUCAUAUAGAAUAUAAGUUUAGGAUCAUCCUAAUAGAGUAGUAGAUAGACUUGCAUUUUGCUAUAGGCAACGAAAUAUGCAAAUAUCAUCUUUCUUUUAUGUUAUUUUGAAAGUAUUUUUUUUUUUUGUUUUUUCUCUCGAAGUAAUGAAGACUUAUUCAAUUGCUUGUAUGAGCCUGUGCUCAGAUUAAAUAAUUCAUUAACUGACAUAAUACUUUUUUUAGUAGAAAUUUUUAUAGAGUUCUAGGGCUCAAGCUGAGGUUGCUUAGAAUAAUUUAAUAUGGAACUCUAUUUCGUUCUGGACUUAUAUCCAUAUACUAGAAGCUAUCCAUAGGUUAGCGCUAAAAUGAUUACUUUCCUGCAAUAAGAUUUGGCUAUAGCUGUAGCAAUAUAUGUUGUGUUCGCAAUUGGAUUGAUUAAUUGUUUCACUUGCAAAAUUCGAUUCUUCAUAUGUUUGAGCUAACAUAUUUCUGCAGUCGUUGUACCUUUUCAGGAUUUACAAAUUUUUUG